rnacentral:rRNA from 1 species
UGAGGAAUAUUGGGCAAUGCCCGCAAGGGUGACCCAGCAACGCCGCGUGGAGGAUGAAUGUCGUAAGAUUGUAAACUCCUGUUAGAGGGGAAGAAUAGUACCGGUUGGACCGGUAUAUGACUGUACCCUCAGAGAAAGCCCCGGCUAACUACGUGCCAGCAGCCGCGGUAAUACGUAGGGGGCAAGCGUUGUCCGGAUUUACUGGGUGUAAAGGGCGCGCAGGCGGGAUAAAAAGUCAGUGGUGAAAUCCUACAGCUUAACUGUAGAACUGCCUUCGAUACUUUUAUUCGUGAGUUCGGGAGAGAGAGACGGAAUUCCAGGUGUAGGGGUGAAAUACGUAGAUAUCUGGAAGAACACCAGUUGCGAAGGCGGUCUCUUGGUCCGACACUGACGCUGAGGCGCGAAAGCGUGGGGAGCAAACA